GGUGGCUAAUACCGCAUAACGUCGCAAGACCAAAGAGGGGGACCUUCGGGCCUCUUGCCAUCAGAUGUGCCCAGAUGGGAUUAGCUAGUUGGUGAGGUAACGGCUCACCAAGGCGACGAUCCCUAGCUGGUCUGAGAGGAUGACCAGCCACACUGGAACUGAGACACGGUCCAGACUCCUACGGGAGGCAGCAGUGGGGAAUAUUGCACAAUGGGCGCAAGCCUGAUGCAGCCAUGCCGCGUGUAUGAAGAAGGCCUUCGGGUUGUAAAGUACUUUCAGCGGGGAGGAAGGUGUUGUGGUUAAUAACCGCAGCAAUUGACGUUACCCGCAGAAGAAGCACCGGCUAACUCCGUGCCAGCAGCCGCGGUAAUACGGAGGGUGCAAGCGUUAAUCGGAAUUACUGGGCGUAAAGCGCACGCAGGCGGUCUGUCAAGUCGGAUGUGAAAUCCCCGGGCUCAACCUGGGAACUGCAUUCGAAACUGGCAGGCUUGAGUCUUGUAGAGGGGGGUAGAAUUCCAGGUGUAGCGGUGAAAUGCGUAGAGAUCUGGAGGAAUACCGGUGGCGAAGGCGGCCCCCUGGACAAAGACUGACGCUCAGGUGCGAAAGCGUGGGGAGCAAACAGGAUUAGAUACCCUGGUAGUCCACGCCGUAAACGAUGUCUACUUGGAGGUUGUGCCCUUGAGGCGUGGCUUCCGGAGCUAACGCGUUAAGUAGACCGCCUGGGGAGUACGGCCGCAAGGUUAAAACUCAAAUGAAUUGACGGGGGCCCGCACAAGCGGUGGAGCAUGUGGUUUAAUUCGAUGCAACGCGAAGAACCUUACCUGGUCUUGACAUCCACAGAACUUUCCAGAGAUGGAUUGGUGCCUUCGGGAACUGUGAGACAGGUGCUGCAUGGCUGUCGUCAGCUCGUGUUGUGAAAUGUUGGGUUAAGUCCCGCAACGAGCGCAAC
rnacentral:rRNA from 1 species